GAAAAUCGGUUUAACAUCAUGAGAUCAACAUGGCUGUUAAUUUUUGCGCAGUGACCUUUCAGCACACGGACUUUUCCCCAGACUGGACAACAGAGCUGAAGUUUCCCCAACUGAGAGCACUCCUCGAAGCAGGCUGUCUUGGGAAGAUAAAUGAAACUGAACUACUUGGGAAUAAAAAGGGUCUUUAAUCGGGGCAUUUAUAACAGACUCACCACCAAAGUUAAAUGUGUGGCCAUGACACCGCCUCCCUCUGUCUUCUUCGUUCUUCCCGUGGGCGCCUCGUCCUCUUGACUUCAGUCCUGGCCUUCAGUCUCUCCUAACAGCCAUCCUUGACAUUUCUCCGUCUCUCUUGGUGGGGGCAGGACUCCCACAGGCUCCCACACAUCCUAAGCAAGUGUUAGGAGUACCUAUCACUAUGACAGCAUGUCUCCUCCCGUGGAUAACGCUGGCAGAUCUGAGUUCAGAACGGAGUCCCCGAUUGCUCAGACUCUGGGGACCUGCCCACUCUGAAGGUUGAAGAACUGGACUGUUCCUCAGCUCCCUGCUUUACAGUCAGGUAAACUGAGAUUAGUUCUGAGGUGGCGAGAUUUUUCUGUUUUACCAGACCGACAAAAAGAUGAGUGUGCAAACAUGCACACGCUUGCACUGUGUGGUCAGGUGUGACUGGGUAGGGAUUGUCCAGGUGGUAAGAGCUUGAGAGUUAAGAGUGUUUGAGAGAUGACUCAAGGGCAGGCUGUGUCCACGUGGGCCGUCAAGGCCAGCCUGUCAGAUGCUUUCCCAACUAAACUAAAAGAAUAAGGCACAGUCUCCUACAGUCCCAGUGAUCCUAGGCUCCACUGAGGUCACUAUGUGCUGUCCAUUAAAUGUCUUAAGAACAGCCCUGGCCAUGAUAGUCUGAGUGUUUCCACGGCCCCGGGAAUGGAGGUUGCAUUCUGGUGACUUGGGGCUUGAAAGAGAGUCUGCCCCUCCCAGCUUCUUUUAGUUCCUUUUCUUUGUUGACCCAAAUACCCGACAGAAUUUAAAGGAGGAGGAAUUUAGUCUUGACGUACACUGUGAAAAGAUGCAGUCUGUCAUGGUGGGGAUGCGGUGGUGGCAGGGCCAUGAGGCAGCCUGUCACACUGCAUCUGCAGCCCGGUGUCUAAGAGAGAUUGGCCCUGGCGCUCGGUCCAGGACCCCAGCCCACUGAAUAGUGCCCCACCCCACUCGGGGUGGCUCUUCCCUCUUCAGUAAAACCACUCUGGAAACCACCUCAGAGACACACCCACAGAGGAGUUCCCAUGGUAAUGCAAAACCCAGUCAAGUGGCAAGGGCACCAGCCAAGACACCUGUGUGUCCUCUUCAGAGAUUAGGAAGUCCGGGGCGUGAGCUGUGUGAGUGUGUGCAUGAAUGAGUGCAGGAGUGUGAGACGGCAGAAGCUGCAGGAUCGCGGGCUGCCCGCCAUUGUCUGGAUGGGCAGAAGUGUGCAGGCAAGAGAGCAACAGCCUGCUGAGGGCUGGGUGGAGCACAGCCUGUGCUCUGCGCUCACAGGAUUGACUUCCCUCUGCCAGCUAGCAGCCGCCUCAGUUUCUCAGGAUUCUCCAAUGGUGGUCUGGAAGGCA